GGAUAUCGUCACUGAAGUAGACUCCGCCCGUAACCGGAAGCGCGGUAAAUCCUGUCAGAAAAGAGUGAAACCAACUUGAAGAACCACCGGUCAGACGGACGACGGCUUCAUGACGUCAUCGCCGCAGUUUCAACAGAACACAGAACCCCUCCAACAGCCCAUAUUUGGAUGUUGUCCGUCAUCCUGUAAUAGGACUGAUCAGUCCCUCCAGCACCGCCAGUAGUUCCUCGCUACCCUUGUUCUGGACCUGGUUCCUGCGUGUCAGCCAUAUGGCCAACUUAGCAGCACCAGACAAAUGUUCACCAGUGUGUGAUGGAGGUGACCGUCCUGGACUUCCUGGUUCCUGUGGAGAACAACAAAACUCUGUUUGUGUGGAACAUUGAGUCGUUUCUCUGUGAGGCUCAGAUCUAUGUGAGUCCUGAGACUCCGCCUCCUUCCUGUCACAUGACACCUGUGUCAGGUCAAAGAACACUGUAUUCACUGUGAAUCAAACAUCCACUGAUUUAGCAACUGCAGUACAAGUACCAGUAGUUGCUGCAGUUCCAGUUUGUAGUAUUAGUGACCUCUGACAAACUGUGACCUAUGACCACUGUGUGUGUGUGUGUGUGUGUGUGUGUGUGUGUGUGUGUGUGUGUGUGUGU